rnacentral:rRNA from 1 species
UUUGUAUAAUCUAGUAAAACUUAUAGCAACGGAUCUCUUGGCUCUCGUAUCGAUGAAGAACGCAGCGAAAUGUGAUAAGUAAUGUGAAUUGCAGAAUUCAGUGAAUCAUCGAAUCUUUGAACGCAUCUUGCGCUCUUUGGUAUUCCGAAGAGCAUGUCUGUCUGAGUGUCACGAAACUCUCAACCUCCUUUCCUUUGUGAUCGGCUGGUUGGAUCAUGGGCGCUUGCCGGCCAGGUCGGCUCGCCUGAAAUGCAUUUGCGAUGUUGUGUCCUUGUGAGUUGGCCCGACUAGGCGUGAUGGUAACGACGUUCGUCUAGGAUCCCGCUUCGGCGAGGAGCCGCUCCUGUUGGGCGUUUGCCUUCGCAUGAACACUCAUAUCUUUGGUUUAGACCUCAGAUCAGGCAGGAUUACCCGCUGAACUUAAGCAUAUCAAUAAGCGGAGGAACAG